CACAGAGCCCUCCGAGGCAGACUCAUUUCAGGUGCAGCGUGGAUUCCCCUCACCGAUCAUCCAAAAGAUAAGUCGGGGGCCAGGGCCUGGAGAUGGCGGAGUAGCAGGUUGGGAGUUCUUGGGACAGAUUCAAAAAUGAGCAGCGGGGAGAGCAAUCUUGUCAAGGGCCUCUUAGGACAGCUAAAGGGAGAGGCUCUGCUUUUGAUGGCAGCUUUCAGGCGGGCAGUGCAGAACAGCUCCGCUCUGUGUCGUGUUGUCCGGUGUGCCGUGUUCCCUAGUGUGUCUUUGGGGUCCCUUUUGCCUUUUCCCUUCGAGGCCCUCACCACAAGCAUGAUGUGUCGUGUUUAAUGUCCCCCUGUUUGUCACGUUCUGUGUCACGGGUGUGUGCACACGUUUGUGCCGGAGCUGUUCUGCCCUGCCGUAUGGCCUGCUGCAAUAGGACAAACCAUAGGGAGUGGGAAUUUGUAAUGUGGGCUGUACUUGGGCUCUAGAUGCUGUUCCUAGAUUGACAUAAGGUGUUUGCAGCUUGUGAGUUACCCUGGUGGUGUUUGACAUAUGUUGUAACUUUCUUUCAGGUGCAGAUGCAUUCCAUGUGUGGCAGAGGGUCAGGGUUAGGAGGUGCCGGGCCUUCUUAGGAGCGCGCUGUCUGAGAGACCCCAGCCCGGUGCCAGCAGGACCUUCCCAGGUGACGAGGUGGCCUUUCUUUGCACCAGAGACCAGCAUCCCCAGAUGUCUGAGAGAUAAGUAGAGGGCUGGGACCCACAGAGGGGAUGAAGGCAUGGUGCUUGUUUGGGAAUUACUGGGAGGGGUUUUUGAGUCCAGUUUGGAGCGGGGGGUGUUCAUUAAACGGCUCGUUAGGCCCCAUGAAAGCCAAGUCUCACUUUUGAUCACAGUGCUGACGUGUGCAGGGCAGAGCAGUCCCGGUGUGUCUCGUGUCACUUGUCUAUUGUGCCUUGUGUGUUGUUUGUGUAUCUCAUCUCCUGUCUUUUGCCUUAGGGGGGCCUGUCAGAAUCCUUGGCAUCCUUGUUAGCAUCUGUGAUCUCUGCAUUCCUUGGCCUGGCACCCGAGCCACAGAACUUUUGACUCGGGAGCUCAGACAGGCAUCAGACUCUCUUCUCUCUUUUGAAGCAUCCCAUCUGAUGUCUUGUCAGGUCUUGUUCUGGGCUGUAUGGACAGCUAUGCCCACCUGGAUCCAUUCAGGUGGAUUAGGACUUGGUGUAAUAUGAGGUUAGGUAGAGGAUUCUGACCGUAGGAUUCCUAGGCAUCCAUCUUUGCAGUUUUUGGAAGAAAUCAUUCAGUUAUCAUCUUUUUCCUUCGGGGUUCUCUGAGCCUCAUCAGCUCACUAUCAGUUUGAACUCAGUCGUCUCCUUUUGCAUUCUCUCAGUCCUUGCAGCCAUUUUCCUGGCCUAGAAUUUUCUGUCUGUGUUGUGUCCCCAUUGUCUGUCCUGUCCUGUCUGUCCUGUGUCACUGGUGUCUGCACACAUUUGUGCCCGAGCUGCUCUGCCCUGUCGCAUAGCCUGGUGCAAUAGGAGAGGGCCCGGGGAUUUGGAAUGUGUAAUGUGGGGUGUAGUUGGACUCUAGAUGGGAAUUGUAGAUGGACACAGGAUAUAUGGAGCUCUUCAGUUAUCAUUGAACUGUCUGACUGUUGUCCUAACUUUUUUUUCAGAUGCACCUCCUCAGAUGACUGCAGUAGUUCUGUAGAUUCCUUCUUCUGAAAGGGAAUAGGGCUCAAGAAUUCAUCUACCAGAGAAUUUUUGCAAGUCCUGGCUUGUAUUGUAUCUGCCUAUGGUGGCUUAUGUUCUAUGUACCUAUACAUCUAUCUUCUAUUGGAUUUUGGGUAGAAAAUUUAUCAGUCCAGAGUGGGGACAAGUCCUAGCUGUCAGAUAGCCACUCGUUGACCCUUCCUGUCGUCUCACAGGUCCCCGAGGCUGCUGAUUUCCCCAGGAUCUGCCAUUUUACCUCACGGAGUGGCAGCCAGAAGAUGUGUCACAUCACGUUCUUCAGCAUCUCGAGUUUUGCGACUCCUUGUUAAAUUCAGAAUAAAAAAUCCCCAGCCGGGUUGUAUUGCAUGAACUGACAUGGUAUGUACCGAUGUUGGCUUAAAACCCAGAAAACCAGACGAAGAUGAGCAGGAAAAAACCAGAAAAAAACCCUAUGAUGGACAAGAAAAAAACCCAGAAAAAGCCCAGGAUGGGCAAGAAAGAAAUGAGAAAAAAACCCCAGAAAAUAAUCCCAGAUGGGGAAGAAAAAAACCUAGAAAAAACCCCAGAAAAUCACCCAAGAUGGGCAAGAAAAAACCCAGAAAAAACCACAAGAAAAAAACUCUGAGAUGGGCAAGAAAAAAACCAGAAAAAAGUCUGAAGAUGGGCAAGAAAAAACCUGGAAAAAACCCCCAAGAUGGACAAGAAAUAACCCAGAAAAAAAUUCGAAGAAGGGAAGAAAAGACCCAGAAAACACCCAGAAAAAAAUCGCAACUCAAGUAUAAAUAUAGAAAUGCUUGUCAAGUAUAUGCAGAUAUAUAAAGAAAUGUUAAAUUAUUUGAAAUAUAAAAUAACAUAAAUAUAACAUAUAUACAGUAUUACUUGUA